UACAGAGGUCUCAAGCGUUGUUCGGAUUCAUUGGGCGUAAAGGGUGCGUAGGCGGCGCGGUAAGUCGGGUGUGAAAUCUCGGAGCUUAACUCCGAAACUGCAUUCGAUACUGCCGUGCUUGAGGACUGGAGAGGAGACUGGAAUUUACGGUGUAGCGGUGAAAUGCGUAGAUAUCGGGAGGAACACCCAUGGCGAAGGCAGCAUACUGGUCGGCAUCUGACGCUGAGGCGCGAAAGCGUGGGGAGCAAACAGG
rnacentral:rRNA from 1 species